rnacentral:rRNA from 1 species
ACGGAAGGCAGCAGUGGGGAAUAUUGGGCAAUGGGCGAAAGCCUGACCCAGCGACGCCGCGUGAGGGAAGACGGUCUUCGGAUUGUAAACCUCUUUUAUGUGGGACGAUAAUGACGGUAGCCAAGGAGGAAGCCCCGGCUAACUACGUGCCAGCAGCCGCGGUAAUACGUAGGGGGCGAGCGUUGUCCGGAAUUACUGGGCGUAAAGGGUGCGUAGGUGGUCGACUAAGUUGGAUGUGAAAUCCCCGGGCUUAACUUGGGGUCUGCAUCCAAAACUGGCCGACUAGAGUGCAGGAGAGGAAAGCGGAAUUCCUAGUGUAGCGGUGAAAUGCGUAGAUAUUAGGAGGAACACCAGUGGCGAAGGCGGCUUUCUGGACUGUAACUGACACUGAGGCACGAAAGCGUGGGGAGCAAACAGGAUUAGAUACCCUGGUA